rnacentral:rRNA from 1 species
UACGGAGGGUGCAAGCGUUGUUCGGAAUCAUUGGGCGUAAAGCGCGUGUAGGCGGCUUGGCAAGUCGGGUGUGAAAUCCCGGGGCUCAACCCCGGAAUUGCAUCCGAAACUGCGGAGCUAGGGUGCGGAAGAGGGAAGCGGAAUUUCCGGUGUAGCGGUGAAAUGCGUAGAUAUUGGGAAGAACACCGGUGGCGAAGGCGGCGACCUGGUCUGAUACUGACGCUGAGGCGCGACAGCGUGGGGAGCAAAC